rnacentral:rRNA from 1 species
AGUGAACGCUGGCGGCAGGCCUAAUACAUGCAAGUCGAACGGCAGCACAGCAGAGCUUGCUCUGUGGGUGGCGAGUGGCGGACGGGUGAGGAAUACAUGGGAAUCUGCCCAGUCGUGGGGGAUAACGUAGGGAAACUUACGCUAAUACCGCAUGCGCCCUUCGGGGAAAGCCGGGGACCUUCGGGCCUGGCGCGAUUGGAUGAGCCCAUGUCGGAUUAGCUAGUUGGCGGGGUAAUGGCCCACCAAGGCGACGAUCCGUAGCUGGUCUGAGAGGAUGAUCAGCCACACUGGAACUGAGACACGGUCCAGACUCUUACGGGAGGCAGCAGUAGGGAAUAUUGGACAAUGGGCGCAAGCCUGAUCCAGCCAUGCCGCGUGAGUGAAGAAGGCCCUCGGGGUUGUAAAGCUCUUUUUGUCCCGGAAAGAAAAGACGCCGGGUUAAUACCCUGGUGUCCUGACGGUACCGGAAGAAUAAGCACCGGCUAACUCGUGCCAGCAGCCGCGGU